AGUGAACGCUGGCGGCGUGCCUAAUACAUGCAAGUCGAACGGAGUGGCGCACGGGUGAGUAAUAUAUAGCUAAUCUGCCCCUUGCUGGAGGACAACAGUUAGAAAUGACUGCUAAUACUCCAUAGCAAGGGAUGAGACUAAAUCGUAUCAGCUAGUCGGUGGGGUAACGGCCUACCGAGGCUAUGACGCGUAACUGGUCUGAGAGGAUGAUCAGUUACAUUUGAACUGAGACACGGACCAAACUCCUACGGGAGGCAGCAGUAGGGAAUAUAACGCAAUGGGGGAAGCCCUGAGGCAGCAACGCCGCGUGGAGGAUGACACUUAUAGGAGCGUAAACUCCUUUUGUGAGGGAAGCGGUACCUAGCGAAUAAGCACCGGCUAACUCCGUGCCAGCAGCCGCGGUAAUAC
rnacentral:rRNA from 1 species